rnacentral:rRNA from 1 species
UACGUAGGGGGCUAGCGUUGUCCGGAUUUAUUGGGCGUAAAGAGCGUGUAGGCGGCCAGGUAGGUCCGUUGUGAAAACUCGAGGCUCAACCUCGAGACGUCGGCGGAAACCCUCUGGCUAGAGUCCGGAAGAGGAGAGUGGAAUUCCUGGUGUAGCGGUGAAAUGCGUAGAGAUAUGGAGGAACACCAGUGGCGAAGGCGACUUUCUGGUCUGUAACUGACACUGAGGCGCGAAAGCGUGGGGAGCAAACAGG